AACGAACGCUGGCGGCAGGCUUAACACAUGCAAGUCGAACGCACCUUUCGGGGUUAGUGGCAGACGGGUGAGUAACGCGUGGGAAUCUACCCUUCUCUACGGGAUAGCUCCGGGAAACUGGAAUUAAUACCGUAUACGUCCUGAGGGAGAAAGAUUUAUCGGGGAAGGAUGAGCCCGCGUUGGAUUAGCUAGUUGGUGGGGUAAAGGCCUACCAAGGCGACGAUCCAUAGCUGGUCUAAGAGGAUGAUCAGCCACAUUGGGACUGAGACACGGCCCAAACUCCUACGGGAGGCAGCAGUGGGGAAUAUUGGACAAUGGGCGCAAGCCUGAUCCAGCCAUGCCGCGUGAGUGAUGAAGGCCCUAGGGUUGUAAAGCUCUUUCAGUGGGGACGAUAAUGACGGUACCCACAGAAGAAGCCCCGGCUAACUUCGUG
rnacentral:rRNA from 1 species